rnacentral:rRNA from 1 species
GAUGAACGCUGGCGGCGUGCCUAAUACAUGCAAGUCGAGCGAACGUACGAGAAGCUUGCUUCUCUGAUGUUAGCGGCGGACGGGUGAGUAACACGUCGAUAACCUACCUAUAAGACUGGGAUAACUUCGGGAAACCGGAGCUAAUACCGGAUGAUAUUUUGAACCGCAUGGUUCAAAAGUGAAAGACGGUCUUGCUGUCACUUAUAGAUGGAUCCGCGCUGCAUUAGCUAGUUGGUAAGGUAACGGCUUACCAAGGCAACGAUGCCUAGCCGACCUGAGAGGGUACUAGGCCACCCUGGAACUGAGCAUCGGUCCAGACUCCUACGGGAGGCAGCAGCAGGGAAUCUUGCGCAAUGCGCGAAGGCCUGACGGAGCACCGCGGCGUGCGUGAUGAAGGUCUUCGGAUGGUAACACACUGUUAGUAGGGAAGACCAUAUGUGUAAGUAACUGUGCACAUCUUGACGGUACCUAAUCAGAAAGCCACGGCUAACUACGUG